rnacentral:rRNA from 1 species
GAUGAACGCUGGCGGCGUGCUUAACACAUGCAAGUCGAACGGAACGGCUCCUUCUUGCUGGGGUGCUCGAGUGGCGAACGUGUGUGUAACACGUGGGUGUUCUGCCCUGCACUUCGGGAUAAGUUUUGGAAACUGGGUCUAAUACCGGAUAGGACGCUGGUUUGCAUGACAUUGUGGAAAGUUUUUUUGGUGUGGGAUGAGCUCGCGGCCUAUCAGCUUGUUGAUGGGGUAAUGUCCUACCAAGGCGUCGACAGGUAGCCGGGCUGAGAGGGUGUACGGCCACAUUGGGACUGAGAUACGGCCCAGACUACUAUGGGAGGCAGCAGAGGGGAAGAGUGCACAACGGGAGGAAGCCUGAUGCAGCGAAGCCGCGUGGGGGAUGACGGCCAUCGGGUUGGAAACUACAUUCGCUAGGGACGAAGCGAAAGUGACGGUACCUGGAGAAGAAGCACCGGCUAACUACGUG